rnacentral:lncRNA from 10 species
AUUGAAGACAUCUCCAUUUUACAGAGGAGGAAACAGAUUCAGAUGGCAAAGGCAGGUAAGUAGCUAAGUCAGGAUUCAAACCCAGGACUCCAGAGGCUAACAACCCUCACUGCCUCUGUCUUGUCCUGGGCCAGCCCCAACAGCAUCUGUUGGCAGAGGUGUCAAAGGAGACGUUGGAGACAUUAUCUUGGAUCCAGGAAAUGAAGGGAUUCACAGAAAACGGGACGUGCUACUUUACCAGCACAUCACUGGGGGUAGGAGAUGAGGUCAGAGAACUCGCCAGGCCCAGAUCACCCAGCGCCUGAGUGGCUGGAGGUUAACUAGCAACCCAGGUGGCAGGUGGAAGAUGGAGAUUCACGAUUGCUUCUGGAAGACUCGCUGUGUGAUUCCGCCCACCCCAUGGCCAUUCCCUCCUCCUGAGAUGUUCAGAGCAGGAUUCCUACCUAGUGCCCCGCCAAACAUGGCCCACACCCCAAGUCACCCUGGACCACACCCGCCCCUCCGUCAUUUCCUACAGGCUUUUCCUGCAGAUUGAGAGAGGAAACUGGGCAGGGAGCACACCACUGAUGGGUGAAAUGAUGAUCUCACAGGAAACCAGACAAGCUAGAGUUGUCACCACACCCUGGACUCAGAGAACUUGGGUACUUCACCGACGGCCACCUCCCAUCGCCCUUUCAUUCUUCAUGGGCAGGGCCUUGCAAGCCUUGGUGAUGGAUUUUAUUCCAUGAGAUGGGGCAGCUGUUGCAGGAACACGAUUUGAGUUGUUUUUUGAAAGAUUGCUCUGGCUACUGUGCAGAGUGGCUUCUCAGGGUGCACACGGGGGAGAUGUCGUAGGACAACUGGGUGUUGGAUCUGGAGCUCAGGGAGAACAACCCUCAGAGGAGAUGGCCCCUGGCUGAGCCUGGAGAUACCACCAUUCCAGAGAAGAGCAGAGGGCCAGGAGAAGGGGCGUGUGGCUGUGUGGUUGACAUCUCGAUGACAUGUGCUGUGUGUGUCCCUCACAGACUUGGGAUCUUUCUGGGAGGCAAACACAGGCCUUGGGGAAUGUUCUGGGAUGGGCGAUGUCAGCCUCAGUGUGUUUGCUCAGCUGCUGGGCUCUCUUGGGACCAUAGAGGACUGCAGCACCAAUGGUGGAACUCCAGGCGUGGUGACAGGAUGUGACCAGGUUCCCCCACCCAGGUCUGUGGUCAGCCUGGCUGUGCUGAAUGGUGGAAGCAGGGGUGAGGCCCCGAGAGGUGUCUGGAGCCAUCUGGCCGUGAGGUCAGCCACCCAGCCAGGCCUCUGGAAGCCAUGGGCAGCCACUUCCCAGAUGCGGCUUCCUGCCCUUUCCUCCACCAAAACCACACUCAGCUCAUAGGCUGGCCUCAGGGGCAGUCCCUUUCCCACGGGGAGGGCCGCAUGCAAAUGCCACACUGAGCUGAGCCAAGGCAGGGGUCAAUUCUGAAGGCCUGGAUCCUCCAUGUCCUAUGGGCAGGUCAACCACAACAAAGCCCAGCCUGCCCAUCAAGCCCCACUGCUUUCCACUGCUUUGGUGCCUUCGCCUCUCUGGGUGAACCCUGCUCACCCUGAGCCCCUGCAUGUAAGGCACUUUUAGAUGCAAUCAUCCCCUGCGAUUUUCCUGAUACAGGGAGAAGAAGGCAGGUGGCCCUGGCCACUGUGUGUGCUGACGCAGAGCGAACAGGCAGCAGCACUGGAGGGAGGGAGGAGUGUGUGUGUGGCUGUGCGUCCUGUGUGUGGAUUUUUGUGUGCAAGUCCCGUGUGUGUACCUAGCAUGUAUGUCCCAGUAGCUUGUGUGUACCUGUGCCCUGGGUGUGUGCUUGUGCAAAUCUCUGUGUGUGUUUGUGCAAAUCUUUGUGAAUGUAAACCUGUACCUAAGAGUGUUGUCUGUGUGUCAACGUGUGUGUAUAGGCGCCUGGAACCAGUUAUGAUUUAGAUCAACACCCCACUUUCAGCCUUGGCGAGAUUCCUUCCUGCAGGACCGGGGAACAGAUCACUACUCCCAUUUUGCAGAAGUGAGACUGAGGCUCAGAGAGGGCCGAGACUUGCCUAAGGUCACCAGCUGAUGGGAUUACAAUUCAGUCCUUACCUCUAUGGUGGCUUCUAAGGGUUCAUGGGUGUUCUUGGUCCCAAACUCUCCUCCCCAACCUGUUCCAUUGGUGCCUGCAAUACCCCUGUUGGGAAGAGACAGUGUCCUUGGCAGAUUCAUCUGUUAAACUGGCCUCCCUUCAUGAAACAGGGACAAUCCAUCCUUCCCAAGACUGUCCUAGCGGGUAGAUGGCCC